GAUGAACGCUGGCGGCGUGCCUAAUACAUGCAAGUCGAGCGAACGGACGAGAAGCUUGCUUCUCUGAUGUUAGCGGCGGACGGGUGAGUAACACGUGGAUAACCUACCUAUAAGACUGGGAUAACUUCGGGAAACCGUAGCUAAUACCGGAUAAUAUUUUGAACCGCAUGGUUCAAAAGUGAAAGACGGUCUUGCUGUCACUUAUAGAUGGAUCCGCGCUGCAUUAGCUAGUUGGUAAGGUAACGGCUUACCAAGGCAACGAUGCAUAGCCGACCUGAGAGGGUGAGCGGCCACACUGGAACUGAGACACGGUCCAGACUCCUACGGGAGGCAGCAGUAGGGAAUCUUCUGCAAUGGGCGAAAGCCUGACGGAGCAACGCCGCGUGAGUGAUGAAGGUCUUCGGAUCGUAAAACUCUGUUAUUAGGGAAGAACAUAUGUGUAAGUAACUGUGCACAUCUUGACGGUACCUAAUCAGAAAGCCACGGCUAACUACGUG
rnacentral:rRNA from 1 species